UACGUAGGUGGCAAGCGUUGUCCGGAUUUACUGGGCGUAAAGGGCGUGCAGGCGGUCUGUUAAGUCUAGGGUGAAAGCUCCCGGCUCAACUGGGAGAGGUCCUUGGAUACUGGCGGACUUGAGGGAGGCAGAGGAAAGUGGAAUUCCCGGUGUAGUGGUGAUAUGCGUAGAUAUCGGGAGGAACACCAGUGGCGAAGGCGGCUUUCUGGACGGUUUCUGACACUAAGACUCGAAAGCGUGGGGAGCAAACAGG
rnacentral:rRNA from 1 species